rnacentral:rRNA from 1 species
GACGUAGGGUGCGAGCGUUGUCCGGAUUUAUUGGGCGUAAAGAGCUCGUAGGCGGCUCGUCGCGUCGACCGUGAAAACCCGCGGCUUAACCUCGGGCCUGCAGUCGAUACGGGCAGACUAGAGUUCGGUAGGGGAGACUGGAAUUCCUGGUGUAGCGGUGAAAUGCGCAGAUAUCAGGAGGAACACCGGUGGCGAAGGCGGUUCUCUGGGCAUUACCUGACGCUGAGGAGCGAAAGCAUGGGGAGCGAACAGG